rnacentral:piRNA from 1 species
UAAGAUGGAAACGGAGGAUGCUAGAUAGU